UUUCAGUUUUAGUUAUAUGUCCUCUAUUACUUGUCUUUUGCAAAUAAAUUGUUUUUACCUUUGUGGAAUCCUGCGGGAAUAUUUCAAUCACCAGUACAUGCCAAAACUUGUUAGUGGAGGAAGAAAAAAGAAAAACAAAAGAAAGAGAAAGAAAAAAAAGUAAGGGAAAGAUGGAAAAAAAGAAGAGGAUCAAUCAUACUGCACGCAUAACAUAUUGCAUACAUCAUGCAUAUCAUAACAUUUCCAUCG
rnacentral:lncRNA from 1 species